rnacentral:rRNA from 1 species
AUUGAACGCUGGCGGCAGGCCUAACACAUGCAAGUCGAGCGGAUGAAGGGAGCUUGCUCCUGGAUUCAGCGGCGGACGGGUGAGUAAUGCCUAGGAAUCUGCCUGGUAGUGGGGGAUAACGUCCGGAAACGGGCGCUAAUACCGCAUACGUCCUGAGGGAGAAAGUGGGGGAUCUUCGGACCUCACGCUACAAGUUGACCCUAGGUCGGAUUAGCUAGUUGGUGGGGUAAAGGCCUACCAAGGCGACGAUCCGUAACUGGUCUGAGAGGAUGAUCAGUCACACUGGAACUGAGACACGGUCCAGACUCCUACGGGAGGCAGCAGUGGGGAAUAUUGGACAAUGGGCGAAAGCCUGAUCCAGCCAUGCCGCGGGUGUGAAGAAGGUCUUCGGAUUGUAAAGCACUUUAAGUUGGGAGGAAGGGCAGUAAGUUAAUACCUUGCUGUUUUGACGUUACCAACAGAAUAAGCACCGGCUAACUUCGUG